GUACACACCGCCCGUCGCUGCUACCGAUUGGAUGAUCCGGUGAAAUCGUCGGAUUAAUUUGUUUUUCUAWCUUUCGGGUUAGAUAUCAARCUUGAGAAGUUGAUUAAACCUUAUCAUCUAGAGGAAGYAAAAGUCGUAACAAGGUUUCCGUAGGUGAACCUGCAGAAGGAUCA
rnacentral:rRNA from 1 species